GACGAACGCUGGCGGCGUGCUUAACACAUGCAAGUCGAACGGAAAGGCCCUGCUUUUGUUGGUUGCUCGAUUGGCGAACGGGUGAGUAACACGUGUGUAACCUGCCCUUGACUUUGGGAUAACUUCAGGAAACUGGGGCUAAUACCGGAUAGGAUCUCCUGCUGCAUGUUGGGGGUUGGAAAGUUUCGGUGGUUGGGGAUGGACUCGCGGCUUAUCCGCUUCUUUGUGUGGUAGUGGCUUACCAAGGCUUUGACGGGUAGCCGGCAUGAGAGGGUGACCGGCCACAUGGGGACUGAGAUACGGCCCAGACUGCUACGGGAGGCAGCAGUGGGGAAUAUUGCACAAUGGGUGGAAGCCUGAUGCAGAAACGCCGCGUGCGGGAUGACGGCCUUCGAGUUGUGAACCGAUUUGGCCUGUGACGAAGCGUGAGUGACGGUAAUGGGUAAAGAAGCACCGGCUAACUACGUG
rnacentral:rRNA from 1 species